CUAAAUACCUUGGAUCUAUGUUUUCUCUAUUAUACAUACAAAUAAGAACUUCCAAGGUAUUAUCCUAAUCUAGCAUACAAACACAAUGACUAUAGCAAGAUAGAAUACAUACCUCUUUGGAGAAGAAAGUCUUCAUGAAGCUAGAGUGCCUAGUGCCCCAAGUGUGACACCUCAAAUGGAAUCACAAUCAUCAAAACACUUGGAAUGACUUGAGAGAAUUCUACACUCAUCAAAAUCGGCUAGCCCUCUCUAGAAUCAUCUAGUCGCCAAUUUUGCCAAGAAUAAUAUCUUUAUAUAGUGUUACAAUUAGGGUAAACCCUAAUUGUCAUGACUUUCCAUUUCCUUGGAUCCAUGGGUUCAAAUACACCAUGGAGCAUCCAUGGACCAUCCUAUGGGUUUUAGCCCAACUUGAUUAUCCAUGGAGCAUUAGCCCACUAUACAAGUAUGGAUGAUUUACACAAUCAACCCAUAUAUUUAAUUAGUCUUCUUUUGAUCACUUAAUUAAUCCUAGAUUAAUUCUUGAUCAAUACUAAUUAAAUAAUCUUAUUAUUCUUAUUAUUAAUAUACUAGAACUUAUAAUAUAUUAAUAACCAUAAGUGUCUUAUUUCUCUCAUUAUAGUCUAUCCAAGUGCAUGAUGGUAUGCAACCCAAAUGGACCAUGCCGGGUCGGGUCAAGUCUUACCAAUUAUAGUUAUGGACUUAGACAUUAAUCCAACAGUCUCCCACUUGGAUAAGUCUAAAACUAUUAUUGCGUAUGACUUCAGGAACCAACUGGCAAUCGUAGCUCUCAAAAGCUUCUGUCGAACUCUGACCUUGUAGAUGAACUCUGACCUUUGUCAAUGACUUGUCCAUUAGAUAAGGGAUCAUAUAUUCCUCCAUUCUAGAUAUCAUAUGGACUGAGACAUGGAUUAUAAUCAUUCUCUCUGUCCAUUUGUUGUUUCCCGAUUUCCGAUUUAUGACGACUGACUAAUUGAACAAAUCAAAUCAGUCCUGGCCCGGCCGAGCACUUCCAUUUGUCAUCAUCAAAUCAUCGAGGGGCCCACAGAUAUCGCUUUUAUCCCGAAGGUAAAAGGAAUGGAUAAACUUCGACUCAUAUGGCUUGUUCUACUACUUGUUGAAUCAUACACAAAGGCACGUUUUAUAGCACCGAGUUACCAAAUGCGUUUUCGUGCAAUCAAUGUACUAUCAACUCAUAGUAACAACUCAUAUCUCUAGGUUUGAAGAAUAUAAGAUAUUAUCGUCUCAUGAUCACUCGUGAUAAAAUCCAUGAAGUGAUUCCAAUGAGCGCGGGUUGAAUCCAAUACUCAGAACUUAUGAGCACUCAUGAGUGUUGUAGCCCUUUGUCCAACACCUUAGACCUCUACAAGCCAACCCAUGACAGUCUUAAUUCAUAUCUACUUCCAACAUAUGACCGACUGUGGAUGGUUUGAAUAACUUAGUCAUUCCGGAAGAAUAACCCAGUUUAUUCGGGAAGUCAAAACAUGCAAAAUGAAACACAAUAAUAAUUGAAUCCAAUAUGGUAUCAACCCUUUGAACAUAAAUAAAACACCUUUUAUUUAUCACCAUAUGAUUACACAUUAUUCAUUGUAUACUGUUUCAGCUAUCAACUUUAUUCUUGAAUUUAAAACAAUAGUUGUCCCAUGCUCCAAGCAUGUACACUAUGUUUUCUUAAACACUAGUCAUGCCACACACCAAGUAUGCAUACUAUGUUUGUCUAUGAUCUUUACUUUGUGAACUAGAUCAAUUGAACAUAACUUCAAUGAUUCUCUUUUCACACUCCCAAAUCCUUACUGCAAAUGCAAGAAUUCCAAAUUCAUGCCAUUUACUGAAAUCUGUUAGAUUCUAAACUUAUAUGCAUUGAUCCUCUUGUAAUGAUUAUGCACAAAGUCACAAAGACUUGGCAACAAUCAUUACAGAGUAUUCCAAAGGAGAUCAACUCCUUGGAAAUAUCCUUCUUGCAUUAAGUUUCCUUAAUCUUACACAGAUUGAAAAUUCUAACUUUGAAACAUUUCCAGAUUCCAUUUUGACUAUCACUUCUGAACAAGAGUUGCCUCCUUACAGAUUAUGUCAAUAUGGUCCUUCCAGAAUUAUCACUAUACUUCCAAUUGUCCUUGAGUAACCAAUCUUUGGUAAACCUUAGAUUGUCCUCGACAAUUGUUUAAUCCUUUUAGUCAUAUCCAGUUCUAAACCUUUUCCCUUCUUAAUGCCCCAGGCAUUUGGAAAAUUUUAGAACGGAUGAAUAUAGCACAUGUAAUCGAUCCUAUAUCCGAAGCAUAUGGGACACGAUUCAUGAUGUCUUACAUAAAGACUAAACCAGUCUUUUGCUAUAAUAUUUCCAUUUCAAUUUGCCAAGUUCUCAUAAUUCAGAUUAUGAAAAGGGAUGCCGUAAUCAUAAUCGAAUUUUAGAACGCAAAUAAUGGACCCAUAUACAGAAUUUCCUUAUGUUGAGCCAUUCCAACAUGAAAUUCAUAUAUAUCCUUGACUAAAUGAUUAAAACCUCACGAUCUAAGCUUAUAGAUUUGAGAUGAAGCAUAAUUUCCUCUCCCUUAAUUAUAGCAAAACAACUUUUUCCCAAUUGAAACUUUUGUUUUCUAUAAUUAACAUUGCUAACUUGCAAUACUUAUCAUAAUUAUCAUGCUCCCACUAACAUGAUGAUUAUUAGCAUAACACUUAUGCUCCCACUAGCUUUGACAUGUACUCAGAAAUCAGCUGGACAGUCUGAAAUUUAGAUUCAUACACCCUUUCCGUAGAUAGCUCACCUGUGUGUCUAAGCAAUUUCAAGAACCAUGAAAAGGGAUACCGUAAUCAUGGUCUCAAUUGCUUAGGCAUUUGCCAUUUCUCACAAGUCCAUGUUAGUGUGCCGGUUAACCACACGCGCUCCACUAACGACUUUUGAAAAUGCAAAUAACACAAUUGAUAUCUUCGUAAAAUCUACUUAGUGAAAGCGUUUCCUCACCAUCAUUUUCAUGAAUCGGAGAGAAACCUUAUGACACUUAGAUUUAUAUGGUGUAUGAGUUCCUACCCAUAUGAAUUUGUCAAACCAUAAUCACAAGACAAAGAUAAUGACAAAUCCAAAACCAUAUGGAUUGAACUCAAUCUUAACUUCUUGCCACCUGGCAGCUCAAGGGCCUGCCAUUGCUUCCAAGUUGUUAUGCAACAAACUGAGAACUCUAAGAACUCAUAUGCAAAGCCAACUUUAACUGGAAUGGGCACAGAUAUGUCAACACGAUAGGUUAUAAACCUCAAGUCGUGUGCUAGUGAAGAACUUUAGGUUUUAUUCUUGAUUAUUUCUUGAGACUUUCAAGACCUUUAAGACUCCCACUGUCCUCUUGACAUAUAAGACUCCCUUGUCAAACAUCCAAGAGAUAGUGCGGAUUCUAAUCAAGAAAAACACUUUACCCAAUUGGCCUAAGUUGGUCUUUGUUUUAUCCAAAACAUCACAACUUACCAAUUUCAAAUGUACAAGAGUAGAAAACUUUUACUCUUACAUUUGACAAGUGUUUUAAACCUUCUUUAAGACAUGUCACUCAAAUGACAAUCUUGGAGUAUGACUCUAAGACUUGUAUUGGAACGAAGUAUGACUCAUCUUCUUGAUUUAACCAUUUCAACAAUUCAAGUUCCUCUUCUUAGUCAUAAGAAUGCACUAAGAUUUCCUUAGAGAACUAAUUUUGAUAUGGUUUCUUAAUCAUUAAGAUGAUCACAAAACUGAUACUAAAGUACUCUCCCAUCUUUUCAGAUUUGAGAAACUUUUAUCCUUCUGCCUUAUUUGAUUCUUCUUAUCGAUCUUUAGUGGUGGACUUAAUCAGUGCACAAGAAUGUGUACUCGAUCCCUAAGUCCUUUACUUGACUCACACAUCCAUGUGAACAAGUAAUUAGUCUUAAUUUUCCAAAACUUGAAAGUUCUCAUUCAUCAUGCUAUACAACUUGCAUGAUUCCAAGUUCCGGUCCAAUUGAAACUUGGGUGAUGAGAAUCUUUCCUUAUUUGGUAAAUUUAGACAUUACCACAAAUGAAAGAAUCAAUUUCAUAUUUCCACUCUUGCUCUUAAUGGAAUCAUAUAAGCAACAAUUUUUCCUCAAAUGCCAUUGUAAGGAUAUUUUAAAAUAAAUAAAAUCAAAAAAAUUUUCUUUUAUUUUAAAACUUUGCGGAAAAACUUAUCCUUACAAUCCAUAUGAAAACUUGUUGUUAUCUAUUCCUAAGCAAUAUCUCAUAACUCCUAAGAAGUAGCUCAAGAAUCCGAUCUUCAAACUAUGCGAUAGAAAUCCAUCUACGCCAUCAGAUUCAGCAUAUUCUUUCUUUAAGUUUCUUCACUUUUCUUUGAUUCUUAAAACAUCACCAUGUGACCCAGUCACAUCAUGUAUCAAGAAUCUCAGAAUAGAAACUUAACAGAGUUAGAUAGUGGACUUUACCUGAAGUAGAGUCAAACUUAUUGACUUUAACAUCCUUAGGUAAAUUUGGCAGCUUCGCAACCAAUGCCCCUUCCUUUGGCAAUAUAAACAUAUGGACCCUUUGAUAAUGGUACACGGGACUAUCACAGACUUAGCUUUUCUCUUUACCAUUUGGUCAACCGAGUUGACUAUGGCCGAUCCCUUUCCAUUGGGAAGAGAAUGCUUUACUGGAUAUCCAAUGUCAUCAUUGUCAAUGUCCAUAAAGUUUUAGGAAGUUGAUCUUAGCAAAUAGAUAAGAUCAUUAAGGGUCUUGUCAUAGUCUGUUUCAUAGGUGUCCCAAAGGAACUCACUAUGUGACUUAGAAAGUGGUUGAACCACCAACUUUCUCAAGACUUUGACACCCAACUCUCCCGGCUUGUCAAUAUGUGACUACAUCUCCAAGAUGUGACCACACCUAGACCUUGCCUUGCCAAUAGGGCCUGAGUGACCUUAAACUUUUCAAGAACUUGUGGGUUAGGGAGAAUAAUUUGAAGAGGUGAAGAAGUAUGAUAUCCAUGGGACAUCAUCUUCAUUAGGAAACCUUGUUUCAAGAGAUUUGGGAAGAUCAUAGGUGUCUAAACCAGACAUCUUUUGGGAGAUAUUCAAGAUAGUUGAUUUAAAGUCCUUAAUAUGACACCCAAUAUGAAAUAUUAAGGCUAGGACCCAACAAACUAUUUUAUAACUUAGAAGAGGUAUGCCGUAAUCCAAGCUAUAAAAUAUUUGAAGGUAGGUGAAUGACGAUUCACCAAUUUCCACCAAGAUAAACGAAAUGUAUUAUUAGGUUUUAAUUGGUUUUGAAACUCCUAGAUCUUUGAGAUUCAUUGAACUUUUCAAAGGCAUGUUUCAAUCUCGAGUGUGCCCUUCAGGUUUUGUGACUGGGAUGCCGAGGAUCACAAAACAAGGUGUGAAGUAACCAUGCAAAUCACUUGGUACCCUUAAUAAAUUACCCCUCAAUCGAUGUGCCGGUUAACCACACACGCUCCAUCGAUACUAUGAUAAAUAUUAAGUCACCCUUUACCUACCUUGUUAAGUCCAAGUUAGUGUGCCGGUUAACCACACACGCUCCACUAACGACUUAGACAAAGUGUAAAGUGUAAUUUCAUGGAUUAGCACCUUAUUCACAUUUUUCCUAAGUAACUAAGAUUGGGUAUUAUUAAGAGUUUAGUUACUUAGUAUUAUCAUUAAUACUUUUAAUGAAGGGAGAAUUCUAGUCCUGUCAAACCCGUUCGGCUAACGACCCUCCACCAGUCAAGCAAGCGGUGGGUGAGAGUGGACACCCAUUAAGUUGCCAUUUUAUAGGCAACAACCUUAUACCCACCUUAUAGACCGGCUUCGUGAAUGAGGCGUACUAGCGGUAAGACUGACUUUACUCUUAUACAUAUAUAUAUUAUUAACUUAUAAUAUUAUAAAGUAUAAGGGUUGAAUUUUAACUUUUAAAAUUCUAAGGGCUAACUUGGAAUUAAAGUAUUCAUACUUGAAAACUUUUCAAAUUCCAAAACUUGAGGGCAAGUUUUGAAACUAUUCAAAACUAAUUAAUUCCAUAACUUAUGUGUUUAAAGUAGUUUUAAUCCAAAAACUCUUCAAGUUCCAUAACUUGAGGACAAGUUAUGGAAGACUUUAAACUAAUAAAAGAACUAACUUUUUCUUUAUUUUAUAACUUAUGGAUUUAAUUAUGGUUACAUAUUUUUCUUUAAUGAAGUGACUCUUGAACUUCCAUAACUUGAGGACAAGUUAUGGAGUCAUAAAAAUUAUUCAAUGACACAAGACUCUUCAUUUUGUAACCAUUGCCAACUCUUAUGAAUUUUAUGAGUCUUUAAUGUGACUCUUCAUGUAACUUGAGGACAAGUUACACAAACACAUUUUAUACUCAACUCUUAGAUUAAAAUGGAUUGAAAACAACUAUUUCACUCAACAUUUCUAUUAAUCUAAGCAACUCAUAAGAACAAGAUAAUUCAAAUCAAACUUUUUCAUGUAAUUAGUCUAAACCUUAAACUAAUACAAAACAUGAAUCUAUUGACAAUUAUCUUUGAAAAUGGAUUAGCAUGAACAUUACCACAUCAAAAACAAGUUUAUAAGUUCAAAAACAACUUAGGGUAAUGUUCCUAGUCCAUUUCUAGCCAAAAAACUCGAAAAUAUGCUGUCUGGGGGUCCAACUCGUCGAGUGCAUGAACAAACUCGGCGAGUUGGAUCGAAUUCAUCACUUUUUAGGCAUGGACUCGUCGAGUCUCCUGAUGGACUCGCCGAGUCUGAUGGCCAGACAGCACCAGAUUCGUUUUUUCAGCUUCUUUUGCAAGUAUAACAAGAAAACAAGCCUAGGCUCUGAUACCACUGUUGGGUUUUGAGCAUUCUAACACUCCUAAGUGUACAUGCAACCCUAAAUACCUUGGAUCUAUGUUUUCUCUAUUAUACAUACAAAUAAGAACUUCCAAGGUAUUAUCCUAAUCUAGCAUACAAACACAAUGACUAUAGCAAGAUAGAAUAGAUACCUCUUUGGAGAAGAAAGUCUUCAUGAAGCUAGAGUGCCUAGUGCCCCAAGUGUGACACCUCAAAUGGAAUCACAAUCAUCAAAACACUUGGAAUGACUUGAGAGAAUUCUACACUCAUCAAAAUCGGCUAGCCCUUUCUUCAC
rnacentral:lncRNA from 1 species